rnacentral:rRNA from 1 species
UACGGAGGAUGCAAGCGUUAUCCGGAAUCAUUGGGCGUAAAGCGUCCGCAGGUGGCUGUGUAAGUCUGCUGUCAAAGUGCAAAGCUCAACUUUGUAAAGGCAGUGGAAACUACACGGCUAGAGUGCGGUCGGGGCAGAGGGAAUUCCUGGUGUAGCGGUGAAAUGCGUAGAGAUCAGGAAGAACACCGGUGGCGAAGGCGCUCUGCUAGGCCGCAACUGACACUGAGGGACGAAAGCUAGGGGAGCGAAAGGG